rnacentral:rRNA from 1 species
UCAGUUGUGAAAGUUUGCGGCUCAACCGUAAGAUUGCAGUUGAUACUGGAUAUCUUGAGUGCAGUUGAGGCAGGCGGAAUUCGUGGUGUAGCGGUGAAAUGCUUAGAUAUCACGAAGAACUCCGAUUGCGAAGGCAGCCUGCUAAGCUGCAACUGACAUUGAGGCUCGAAAGUGUGGGUAUCAAACAGGAUUAGAUACCCUGGUAGUCCACACGGUAAACGAUGAAUACUCGCUGUUUGCGAUAUACUGCAAGCGGCCAAGCGAAAGCGUUAAGUAUUCCACCUGGGGAGUACGCCGGCAACGGUGAAACUCAAAGGAAUUGACGGGGGCCCGCACAAGCGGAGGAACAUGUGGUUUAAUUCGAUGAUACGCGAGGAACCUUACCCGGGCUUAAAUUGCAGAUGAAUUACGGUGAAAGCCGUAAGCCGCAAGGCAUCUGUGAAGGUGCUGCAUGGUUGUCGUCAGCUCGUGCCGUGAGGUGUCGGCUUAAG